AUUGAACGCUGGCGGCAGGCCUAACACAUGCAAGUCGAACGAGUGGCGGACGGGUGAGUAAUGUCUGGGAAACUGCCCGAUGGAGGGGGAUAACUACUGGAAACGGUAGCUAAUACCGCAUACCAUCGGAUGUGCCCAGAUGGGAUUAGCUAGUAGGUGGGGUAACGGCUCACCUAGGCGACGAUCCCUAGCUGGACUGAGAGGAUGACCAGCCAAACUGGAACGGGGCAACGGUCCGAACUCCAACGGGAGGCAGCAGUGGGAAAUAUUGCACAAUGGGGGCAAGCCUGAUGCAGCCAUGCCGGGUGUAUGAAGAAGGCCUUCGGGUUGUAAAGUACUUUCGGCGGGGAGGCGUUACCCGCAGAAGAAGCACCGGCUAACUCCGUGCCAGCAGCCGCGGUAAUU
rnacentral:rRNA from 1 species